CACGUAGUUAGCCGGUGCUUCUUAUCUACCUACCGUCACCACCAAAGGUGGCUUCGUCGAUAGCGAAAGGAGUUUACAACCCGAAGGCCGUCAUCCCCCACGCUGCGUCGCUGCAUCAGGCUUGCGCCCAUUGUGCAAUAUUCCCCACUGCUGCCUCCCGUAGGAGUCUGGGCCGUAUCUCAGUCCCAAUGUGUCCGUACACCCUCUCAGGCCGGAUACCCCGUCGCCGCCUUGGUAGGCCAUUACCCCACCAACAAGCUGAUAGGCCGCAGGCUCAUCCCACACCGCAAAAGCUUUCCACCACAACAUCCAAGAAGUGGUCCUAUAUGGUAUUAGACCCAGUUUCCCAAGCUAUCCCAUAGUGCAGGGCAGAUCACCCACGUGUUACUCACCCGUUCGCCACUCGACGUACCUGUACAAGUACACGGGCCUUUCCGUUCGACUUGCAUGUGUUAGCACGCCGCCAGCGUUCAUCCUGACGUCCGAGG
rnacentral:rRNA from 1 species